GUAGUCGUGGCCGAGUGGUUAAGGCGAUGUACUCAAAAUCCAUUGGGGUUUCCCCACGCAGGAUCGAGUCCUGCCGGCUCCG